ensembl:lncRNA
AUCAGAUGUAAUAAUUACACGUUGUAGGAAUGUUGUAAAACUCCAUGUCAAACUGCAGAAGGAGGAGGUAGGCCAUUAAGGAGAUGAAAUACAGCUGGUUCAUUGAUAGUAGUUAGGUCGUUAGCUAGUUAACAUUUCACACAGAUUGCCAGGGUCCAGUAAGCAACUACGUUAACAAUAUAACUUGAGGAACGGCAAGAAGUCGUAUACCAGUUAAUACUAUAGCGAGUUGGUUCGUUUACUAACGUUAGCUUAUCCGAUGUUGUAACGUUCCUGUUAGCUAGUUGUCUGACUUCAUUACCCAGCUAAUUCUCACACCAUAAACUCAAUUAUUUGAUCAGCUAAAUUGGAUAGUGUUGCUCAACAUUUCUCUGGCUAGCUAACGCGGAGAAUUCAAUCCAACUAGCAAUAUACAAUGCUAACAAUUCUUGUUCCAUCACACUUGCUCCCUCACCUCAAACUUUCCAAAUGCCAUUGUUUUUCAGUUACAGGUCAUGAAGUAGCUUCAUCACCUUCUCACCCCAGUCUCCGUGGUCAGGCUUCUCACCUACCUCUUCGUUAUCGUUCAGGGGACGCGCUGCUGUAACUGGCAAACUGCCUUUCCACACGCUGCUGUCUUUCCAGAGCGAGCGCUGAUGCUGUAACUGCUGGUUGUCUCUUCUCUCUUCAGUCGCAUGCUGCAUUCUGUUGUAAUGUGACUGAUUGACUGAGCCUUGGAUACAGCCAGUAUUACUCCAAAUGCGCAUCAGUCAUUUGCUUACAGCCAGUAGUGGUCCAAAGCCCUCCCUCCCAAACUUUUCUCAUCAGCUCUACACGAAUCAUGUAUGUUACCUAUUUUUGAUUCACCGAAAGGUGACUAGUUUGCAUCCCUGGUAUUUGGUCUUUUGACCAAUCUGAUAUGCUCUGAAAAGAAGCUAAUGCGAAAAUAUCUGAUGUGAUAUGUCAAAAGGCCAAUUAAUGGAUAAAAUAUCAUAAGUGGCCUGUCUAAGCACAGCCCUUGUCUCUGUCUCUGACCUAAACCUCAGGCCCAAUCCAACCAAUAGAGUUUGACGUCACAAUGAGAAAGGACCAGAAGGAAACGCGACGGAGAGGCCAUAGUUGGUUUAUAAAGAUGCGCCAUGGUCUGAUGUGGGGUGAUGUUCCCUGCCCCAGCCUGAGUAGGUGGUGCUGGGAGGCAGCUUGCUCUCCUCUCCCUGCCUGACAGGAGCACGAUGACAGAGGAGACCAGGGAACCCAGCCACCCGGUCCCCACUCAAGCGGGCAUCCUUGGGGUGACGUUCACAGCCUCCGGAAGAGGGACCCUCUGCACACAUCAACAACAGUCACCCACGAAGCACCGUUACCCAUCGCUCCACAAAAGCCACGGCCCUUGCAGAGCAAGGGGAACAACGACUUCAAGGUCUCAGAGCGAGUGACGUCACCGAUUGAAACGCUAUUAGCACGCACCCCUCUAACCAUUUCACACCGGUUACAUGUGCAUGCGUGGAUGCGUGGGCAGACAGAGUGCAUGCAAAUUCGUGCGUGUGCAUUUUAAAGCAUCAUGAAGAACCUUGAGUGUGGAACAGCAGGGGCAUUUGGUGGCGUGCUUGUCAGGGACACACAGUUCCUGUUGGCUGAUCAGCUUCGCUCUGUCCUCUGCUGAAUCACCCAUCCUAUCCAGUCAGACACAGGACAGCACACUGCAUCUCAGCUGGCUCACCG